AAGACCUUGCACUUUUGGAGCGGCCGAUGUCUGAUUAGCUAGUUGGUGGGGUAAUGGCCUACCAAAGCUUCGAUCAGUAGCUGGUCUGAGAGGACGGCCAGCCACACUGGGACUGAGACACGGCCCAGACUCCUACGGGAGGCAGCAGUGGGGAAUUUUGGACAAUGGGCGCAAGCCUGAUCCAGCCAUGCCGCGUGAGUGAAGAAGGCCUUCGGGUUGUAAAGCUCUUUCAGCCGGGAAGAAAAGGUUGCGACUAAUAAUCGCAAUUCAUGACGGUACCGAAAGAAGAAGCGCCGGCUAACUACGUGCCAGCAGCCGCGGUAAUACGUAGGGUGCGAGCGUUAAUCGGAAUUACUGGGCGUAAAGGGUGCGCAGGCGGUUUUGUAAGUCAGAUGUGAAMUCCCCGGGCUUAACCUGGGAACU
rnacentral:rRNA from 1 species